rnacentral:lncRNA from 1 species
UGAGUGGAUUGUGGGAGAGUUUGAGGUUCUGCAUUGCACAAUCUAACAUCAAUCCCCAGCAAAAAUUUGGUGUAUAUGUAAAGCUCGUUUGGGAAGUGCUCCCUCCAUCUAUACAUCAUCAACCACAAUGGCCAUUUAGUCUCUGCAAGCGGGAGGUGAUUUCUUGCUUUUCCUCAAUUCCUUUAGAUGCGUGAGGUGAUAGCAAAACUAGACCUCACAAGAAAGUAAUCUAAAAGUGACCAGUAACACGUCCUGUGGUAAUAGGAGUUCCAGCAAUUUUCAGCACGCCAAAUAUGUACAAGAGAGAAUAAAAAGGACGCAAAGGUGAGCAAGAUCACAAAGAAGCACAUUUACUAUGUAAAUCUCGUUUGGGAAGUGCUCCCUCCAUCUAUACAUCAUCAACCACAAUGGCCAUUUAGUCUCUGCAAGCGGGAGGUGAUUUCUUGCUUUUCCUCAAUUCCUUUAGAUGCGUGAGGUGAUAGCAAAACUAGACCUCACAAGAAAGUAAUCUAAAAGUGACCAGUAACACGUCCUGUGGUAAUAGGAGUUCCAGCAAUUUUCAGCACGCCAAAUAUGUACAAGAGAGAAUAAAAAGGACGCAAAGGUGAGCAAGAUCACAAAGAAGCACAUUUACUUUUUCCUUGAGUAGAAGAGCUUUUAUCCAAUCUCUAGUAUCUAAAAGUUCAGAACUUAUAUAUACGACCC